GCCUGGGUGGCUCAGUCGGGUAAGUGUCCGACUUCGGCUCAGGUCGUGAUCUCACGGCUUGUGAGUUCGAGUCCCACCUCGGGCA
rfam:Felis catus breed Abyssinian Contig118697.1, whole genome shotgun sequence. [26-MAY-2016]